UCAUGGUCCGCCCAAGGCUCCCGGUAGCCCACAGGCCGGGGCCCUGGGGCGUAAAAGGGCGCCCCCGGCUGGCCGUCCGGAGCGAGUGUCUUCCCGCUGCCGUCGCCCGAAAUCAGUGGAUCACCCGCGCCCAGACUGGCACUUCCCGGGAGACCCUGGCUUGCAGCGGCCCCAGUUCUCCCACGGCCCCGAACCUCCUGGUGGGGCCUUUGUCUCUUUAGAAUCCGCCCUGAGAUCCCCCGGGAUCAGCUGGGAUCCCGGUCCUGGGAGGCUCACUUUCUGCCGGAUCCCUCUGCACUCCUCAUCCACUGCCAGCGAGUGGCCGAGAACUCAGAAGCAAUACUCUCACACACCGACGGCACCCCCCGCCCCACCAGAUCCCCUACACUGGAUCCCUGUGGAAAGAAUCCUACAGUGCGGUUCCUCCAAUCAGACGCCGCGAGGAUCCUCCUCUCCCUCCGCUCGGUGCCCUCCCCCGCGCGCCGCUCACCGCCGCCUCCCGCGGAUCCCGGGUCUUCGACGGCUCCCACCUCCGGCUCCUUUAAAACCAGCCUUACCCAGCACUGUCCAACCGCCGAGGGCCUUCUUCUCGGAGCCUUCGGGCGCCGCCCAAUCGCCGAUCCCCGUCUUCCGGGGUGGUGAGAAACUAAGUGAAGCCACCUGGCAGCCAUCUUCCCUAGGGGCAAGAAGCCAAAUUGGGCACCGCCGCCAUUAUAGUUGAGGGCAGGUAGCUCUGUCCUCGAAGAACCGAAGUGGACCGGAUGGAGUCGUUUUGUGAAGGCCAGUCAGUGGCCGAAGACUAUGCCAAGUUUCUUGAACUACUGAGGCAGCUGUAGUGACUAGAGUGCCGCCACGUUUUUUAAGGGCAUCUUCCGGGUUUUUUUUUUUUGUUGUUUUCUUUUUUUUUUUUUUUUGGUUCUCAGGCCAAUAAACGUGAACUGAGUUGCUAGCGACAAGUGAAAUUCCCAAUUUCCUAGAGAGGCCUCAUCGAGGGCGGUUCCGGUUACCCUCCGGGAUUCCUCAGCCGGGUUCCCACGUCGCUGAGAAGAUCUGGGGAGGGGUUAGGGGCCAGAGACUAAGGAUAAUGCCACCUCCAGCUCCUGUGUUUGCGCUAUGUCCCGGAGAGGCUGCUGGGCUGGGCCAAAAUUGGGAGGAGGCUGGGGCGUUGACCUUCCUGGAGGUGUGGGGGUUUCUGCGGCGCACGCCGAGUGUUCAGUAUAGGGGCGCCUUUGCAGGGGACCAAUAACCCACCUUGGCGUGCUCCGUAGGGUCCGGCAGCUUGCCUCUCUGUUCCGGGCUCCCACUAACCUUCUUUCAAGAGGGGCCUGGAAAUAGCCCUUAGUAGUAAGGGAUCGAGGGUGCAUUCCCACUGCUUGGGAGAGUCUGCAUCAUGCAACCUUUACCAGGAGUCGGACUAUUAGUGGGGAGGAAGUGGGCAGGUACUAGCUUCUUGAACUGUGAAGCGGCUCUCACCGCGUAACCAGAGCCUGUACCUCCACUAGUUCUCCUUCCCCAGAAUUUCCUCGUCCAAACCAGUACCUAAUUUUCUUGGUGGAACAAGAAAGCCUGAAGCCUAGAAUCCUGGGUCUGAGAUGAAGGUGCAGCCCAACCCAGCAGAAUUCUGCCUUCUGGGACUUCGUGAUAAACGUAUUGACAUAGUGAGAAUGAUAUGGAAAGAACAGACUCAGCAAGAGCCGGUGUGGAAAGUGAAGACUCCCCCACUCUGUAAGCAAGGGCUCAUCCAGAUAGCUCUCCCAAGCCUACAGCAAUUCUCUUUGUAACACAAGGCCUGCUGGGUCCUCUGGAAAUCCACAAUGAGGCUUCUGGUGUUGGGGGAACAACAGCUUUUCCAGUGGGAAGUGUUCUCUCUUCCCUGGAUGGGGGCUGGCUGUCUGAUGAUGCUUGCAGCUGUGAGUGCUUGGAGAUCCUUCUCAACCUUGUUGAGUUGAGAGGCCCUCUGUAGGCUCUCACUUUCUUAAACAGGUGCUUCCCCAGCCCCAAGGCAAGAAAAGCGCUCAAGGGUAGAGCAUGCCUGAUCAGAGUUUUGAUUCUCUGGGUCUCCUGAAGAAGUCAGGCAAUGGCAAAGGACAUAGGCUUAAGGAAAAGGUCUGGGUCUGAGAAUUUGGCAGGGACGGCCCAGCCCUAAGACCUAACUUGGGGUGCUGGCGUUUAUCAAAUUGAAGUUUAAUGUAGACUGUGGUGUCUUGGCCCUAAGCUCAGGUCAGCAAUAGCAAACCUGAUAUCCUCACCGUGUUACCUCUGCCUUUUUUGUGACUACCAUUUCAACAACUCUUACCUCACCCAUCACCUGUGUACACACUCUAGGGCCUGGUCAAUGUGUGCUGAUCCACUGGCAAGAGGCCCCACACAACUUCCAGUGGGGCAGGUGAUGUGGCUGGAGGUUGGCCCAUCGGUGCAUCAUUGUUCAGAAACUCUAGGGUGCCUGGGUGGCUCAGUUGAUUAAGCGUCCAACUUCAGCUCAGGUCAUGAUCUCACAAUUCAUGAGUUUGAACCCCGCAUCAGGCUUUCUGCUGUCAGCACAGAGCCCACUUAGGAUCAUCUGUCCCCCCUCUCUCUCUGUCCUUCCCCCGCUCAUGUGCACACACCCAUUCUCUGUCUCUCAAAAAUAAAUAAACAUUAGAAAGAAAGAAAGAAAGAAAGAAAGAAAGAAAGAAAGAAGGAAGGAAGGAAGGAAGGAAGGAAGGAAGGAAGGAAGAAAGAAAGAAAGAAAGAAAGAAAGAAAGAAAGAAAGAAAGAAAGAAAGAAAGAAAGAAAGAAAGAAAGAAAGAAAGAAAGAAAAGAAAGAAAGAAGUUAUGGGUCCCUUUGACUCUGGGUCUCCCAUCUGCUUAACUAUUCUUGACCUCAGUGGUCUCACUUGUGAAAUGGGAGCAAUGAACUCUAUCAUGCCUAUCUGAAAAUCGACUUGAAAGAUAAAGAUCAAAUGAGAAGACACACCUGAAUGUGCCUGAUAAAUGAAGUCUCCGGUAAAAUGAGGAAGAUGGGGCGCCUGGAUGGCUCAGUCAGUUGAGCUCUUGAUUUCAGCUCAGGUCAUGAUCUAAUAGUGGAUCCUGCAUGGAGCCUGCUUAAGAUUCUCUCCCUCCCUCUUCAUCUGCCCCUCCCUAGCUCAUGCGCUCUCUCUCUCUCUCUCUCUCUCUCUCUCUCUC